rnacentral:rRNA from 1 species
GACAGAGGCCACGAACGUUGUUCGGAAUCACUGGGCAUAAAGCGCACGUAGGCGGCUGGGUCCGUCCGAUGUGAAAGCCCCCGGCUCAACCGGGGAAUUGCAUCGGAUACAGCCCGGCUUGAGGACGGUUGGGGUGAGUGGAACUCCUGGUGGAGCGGUGAAAUGCGUAGAUAUCAGGAGGAACACCGGUGGCGAAAGCGGCUCACUGGACCGUAACUGACGCUGAGGAGCGGAAAGCCAGGGGAGCAAACGGG